AGAAAAGAGCUUAUUUGAGGCAAGGUUUAAAAUCGACUAUAAACAGGGUUAGUCACGGUUUAAUUUUAAAAAGGUUUUAAACUGUAAACAUGAGUUAACCCUGUUUCAGCAAUUUUAAAUCCUUUUUUUAGUAAAGGAUUUCACUAUUAACCUUAGCACAUCGGUUUAAAUCUUGCGCAAGGUUUGAAUGGUUUUAAAUUUCUAUCAUGGUGAGAUUCUUAAUGCAUUUAAGGGUUUCUCGUGUAAACUUGUCAAGUGGAAUCAGUAAGAGAAAAAUGGUGUUUAGUGUUCAGUGUGCCUCAAAGAAUGGAGGCAUUCUCGUUGACAUUUCGGGGAUUGGGGCUCAAUAUGAGCCCCCAGUGACCACCCAGGGACAUAUCAGCGACAUAGAAGAAGAGUAAAUUGUGAAAAGAUCUGUGGUAAGUGGUGUUUAAUUUUCUUUUCAAGUUUGUAACCAAACGUGCGCGUCAAGAAUCAAAGUGCGGAGUUUUCUCUUUUUUUCAUGAGAUUUUCACUGAAUUUAGGGUCAAUUUUACCGUAAAUGUGUAAAUAAAUGGUGAGCAAUAUAUUUUCUAAAAAAAUCUCGGUGAAAUUCUUGAAGAUUUUAGUGGAAAAAGCGUGAAAAUUCUGUUCACUGAGGAUUAUCCGCACGCCUAAAUUUUAAACCCUGUCAAGAUUAGGAUUUUACCCCUGUUUUAACCUUGAGUUAACCGUGUUUUAAUCUCUCAAGGGUUGAUUUUCAUCCUUGCCACGGUUAGUAUUGGUGCAAUGUGUGCGCGUCUAAAGCCAUCGUGCGGCGUUUCCUCAAGUUUUCACAGAAUUUAUCCCAAUUUUCCACCAUCAAUGCCUAAAUAAACAGUGAGAAAUUAAUUUUCAUAAAAAAUAUCGGUGAAAUUCUUGAAGGUGUUAGUGGAAAAAGCGUGAAAAUGCUGUUCACUGAGGAUUUUCCGUACGCCUAAAUUUUAAUCCGUGUCAAGAUUAGGAUUUUACCCCUGUUUUAACCUUGACCCUGUUUUAAUCUCUCAAGGGUUGAUUUUCAUCCUUGCCACGAUGUCGGAACUCCAGAUUUGCAGAAGUUCGAACGAGAGGAUCAUACUGAAACAUGGAAAUUUACCUAAAAUUUCAAGAGGAGAGAGCAGAAGCACGCCAGGGAGCACUGGAAAGUGCAAAAUAAAAUAAUUGCCACCGUCCUAACCUUACACAUCUUUUGAAGUGAUGCAGGCUGAAGCAGGAUUGAUUAAUUUAAGCUUAAGGAAUUACGUAGGUUUCAGAAACCAUAAAAUAUGCCCUCUUUAAUUUUUUUUUAAAUAUAAUAAAGAAUAUUUCUUCAAAUCCAACUCUGAAACAUAAAAGUACAACAUUAGAACAAUAUUUUCUAAAAUUUUGAUUUACAAAUUUUAAGAGGCUGAUCUUUUAAAAUGAUUUUCGGAGACAUAACUCACAUAAUUUUUCUCUGAAGUCAGAAAACUAAAUAUUUGCUGUUAGCAGUUGAGUAAAACUUAUAUUUCAACGAAAGUUUAAAAACAUGAAAUUUGUUUUCAAUAGCAUUUUUUACAAGAAAAAAAUGGCGUAUUUUACACUACAUUUCGCCGUGCAAAAUAAGGUAUGAUCAAGGAAAAAAAACAAAUCCUUGUUUAAGUUUUAAACAAUCAACUCUAGAAGUAUGCAAAUUUUCGAUGAAAUUGAUGCAUUAGUUUUCGAAAAAUUUUGCAUAUAAAUGUCACAAAUUGAGAUUUUUAAAAGAGCUUUAAAGCUGAUGCUUCUCAAUUGGCUUUAAAUAAAUUUGUAAAGGCUCUAUCCUAAAGUUUCUCACUGGCUUGAAGCUUUGAGAUGAGAAAAUAUUCUUCACAUGUUGUACUUUGUUAUCAAAGAAUAUGUAUAUAUUUUAUUUAAAGUUGCAAUACUGCAAAAAAAAAAUUUUAAAAAUGCCUUUUUAAAGCAAAUUUCCCAUAUCCUUGUAGGUAGAAACGUCAGAAUUUUUUUUAAAAAGGCAUUUAAAAAAAAAAUUCUACUAGUGUAUAGACGCCAUAAAGCUGUUAAGGUAAUCUAGAUAUAUUUAUUUAUUUUUCAUUGAGAUAAGAUUAAAUAUUGAAAAAGAAUAUAGGUAAACAAAUACUGUCAAUUUUUCUUGGUGGAUUUUCCUAAGUUUUUGCUUAAUUAUUUUGAAAAAAGCUUUUCUCAUGCUGUUGUAAAAUUUACUCCCUAGUUUUUGCCAAUAUUGUUUAAAAAAGCUUUAAAUAACAGAUAUUUUUACGACACCUUAAAAGAUAAUAAUAUAAUAAAGUUUAAAGUAAUGAAAUAACUAGGAGUUAUAAAUUCUUAUAUUUGUGUUAAAUUGUAAUUAUUUAAUAGUAAAAUAAGGAAUUAUAAUGAUAUAUUGUUAGAGAAACAAGUACCAUUUUAUUGUAAUAAAUUCUAAAUGUUUACUUAACCUAA